UUCUCAUAGAGACGGGGUUUCACCAUCUUCGUCAGGCUGGUCUUGAACUCCUGACCUCAAGUGAUCCGCCCGCCUCGGCCUCCCAAAGUGCUGGGAUUACAGGCGUCAGCCACGCACCCGGUCUAUUUUUUUUCUUUUUUCUUUUUUUUUUUUUUGAGACAGAGUCUCGCUCUGCAGUGCUGUGGUGCGAUCUCAGCUCCCUGCAACCUCUGCCUCCCGGAUUCAAACGAUUCUCCUCUCUUAGCCUCCCGAGAGGAUCGCUUGAGCCCAGGAGGUCGAGGCUGCAGUGAGCCGUGAUCGCGCCACUGCCCUCCAGCCUGGGCAAUAGAGAGAGACUCUCUCUCCAAAAAAAAAAAAAAAAGAAACAUACAUCUACGACCUCACCCCCAGAACCUAUGACGAUAACCUUAUUUGGAACGAGGGUGGAUCUGUCUGCUGGGACUGCCAUAAAAAAGUCCCACAGCUUGGUGGCUUCAGGAAAAAGGAAUUUGGCCGGGCACGGUGGCUCACGCCUGUAAUUCCAGCACUUUGGGAGGCCAAGGCGGGCGGAUCACCUGAGGUCGGGAGUAUGAGACCAGCCUGGCCAACAUGGCCAGAAAGCCCGUCUCUAAUAAAAAUACAAACAUUAGCCGGGUGUGGUGGCAGGCGCCUGUCAUCCCAGCUACUCAGGAGGCUGAGGCAGGAGAAUGGCCUGAACCUGGGAGGCGGAGGUUGCAGUGAGCCAAGAUCACGCCACUGCACUCCAGCCUGGCGACAGAGUGAGACUCCAUCUCAGAAAAAGAGGAAAAAAAGAAAAAAGAAAAAGGAAAAAGGAAUUGAUUCUCCCACAGUCCUGGAAGCUGCAGGUCCAAGAUCAAGAGAUGGGCAUGGGCAGGGCUGGUUCCUCCCGAGGCCUCUCUCCUGGGCUUGCAGACCCCGUCUUCUCCCUGUGUGCUCACAGGGUCGUCCCUCUGUGUGUGUCUGUGUCCUCAUCUCCUCUUUUUAUGAGAUGUCUUAGUCCAUUUCAGGCUGCUAUCACAGAAUACCAUAGACUAGGCAGCUUAUAAACAAAACACACUGAUUCUCCCACAGUCCUGGAGGCUGGAAGUCUGAGAUCCAGGUGUGGGCAGGGCUGGUUCCUCCUGAGGCCUCUCUCCUGGGCUUGGAGACGCCGUCUUCUCCCUGUGUCCCACAGGGUUGUCCCUUGGUGUGUGUGUCUGUGUCCUCAUCUCUUCUUAUGAGGACCCCAGUCCUAUUAGAUUAGGGCCCACCCUAAUGACCUCAUUUUACCUUAAUCGCCUCUUUAAACACCCCAACUCCAAACACAGUGACAUUCUGAGUUCCUGGGGGAUCAAAGCUUCAACACAUGAAUUUUGAGGGAACACAAUUCAAGCGAUUCUCCUGCCUCAGUCUCCCUGGUAGCUGGGGUUACAGGCUUAAGCCACAGCACCCGACCUAAUUUUUGUAUUUUUAGUAGAGACAGGGUUUUUCCAUGUUGGUCAGGCUGAUCUUGAAGUGCUGACCUCAGGUGAUCUACCCACCUCAGCCUCCCAAAGUGCUGGGAUGGCAGGUGUGAGCCACCGUGCCCGGCCAGAAGUUCUACUCUGAGGCGAUCCUUUUGUCUUGUUGUUGAGAUGGAGUCUCGCUCUGUCGCCCAGGCUGGAGUGCAGUGGUGCGAUCUCGGCUCACUGCAAGCUCCGCCUCCCGGGUUCACGCCAUUCUCCUGCCUCAGCCUCUCGAGUAGCUGGAACUACAGGCGCCCACCACCACGCCCGGCUAAUUUUUUGUAUUUUUAGUAGAGACGGGGUUUCACCGUGUUACCCAGGACGGUCUCGAUCUCCUGACCUUGUGAUCCGCCCGCCUCGGUCUUUAUUACAAGGCCCAGGGGGUGUCUGUCAGUGGGACGACCUUGUUUCCCUUCCACGUCUCCUCUCGUGAGUAAGAGCAAGGAUUGAGUAGCUGGAAGGAGGUUCUGUCUCUGACCUGUGGUUUGAAAGAAAAUAAAGAAGAGGGGCCAGGUAUGGUGGCUCAUGACUCUCACCUGGGCACUUAGGGAGGCCGAGGCAGGUGGAUCACCUGAGGUCAGGAGUUCGAGACCAGCCUGGCCAACAUGGCGAAACCCUGUCUCUACUAAAAAUACAAAAAUUAGCCUGGCAUGGUGGCAGGCACCUGUAAUCCCAGCACUUUGGGAGGCUGAGGCGGGUGGAUCACGAGGUCAGGAGAUUGAGACCAUCCUGGCUAACACAGUGAAGCCCCGUCUCUACUAAAAAUACAAAAAAUUAGCCGAGCGUGGUGGUGGACGCCUGUAAUCCCAGCACUUUGGGAGGCCAAGGUGGGUGGAUCACGAGGUCAGGAAAUCGAGACCAACCUGGCUAACACAGUGAAACCCCGUCUCUACUAAAAAUACAAAAAUUAUCCAGGCGUGGUGGUGCACACCUGUAAUCCCAGCUACUCAGGAGGCUGAGGCAGGAGAAUUGCUUAAACCUGAAAGGUGGAGGUUGCAGUGAGGCGAGAUCGCACCACUGCACUGCAGCCUGGGCAACAGAGUGAGACUCUGUCUCUAAAUAAAUAAAUAAAUAAAUAAAUAAAAUAAUAAAAGAAGAAAAGAGGGGCUGGGCGCUACGGUUCAUGCCUCUCACCACAGCACUUUUGGAGGCUGAGGUGGGAGAAUUGCUUAAGCCCAGGAGUUUGACACCAGCCUGGGCAACAUAGCAAGACCCCAUCUUUACCAAAAAAAAAAAAAACCUGUAAAAAUUACCAGACGUGGUGACACACGUCUUUGGUCCCAGCUACUAGGGAGGCUGAGGUGGGGGGAUACCUUGAGCUUAGGAGUUUGAGACCAGCCUGGGCAACAUAGCAAGACCCCAUCUCUAGAAGAAAAUUUGUUUUGUUUUGUUUUGUUUUGAGACAGAGUUUCACUCUUGUUGCCCAGGCUGGAGUGCAGUGGCACCAGCUCGGCUCACCGCAACCUCCGCCUCCCAGAUUCAAGCGAUUCUCCUGCCUCAGCCUCCCGAGUAGCUGGGAUUACAGGCGCCCACCACCACGCUCGGCUAAUUUUGUAUUUUUAGUAGAGACGGGGUUUCUCCAUGUUGGUCAGGCUGGUCUCGAACUCCCAACCUCAGGUGAUCCACCCGCCUCAGCCUCCCAAAGUGCUGGGAUUACCAGUGUGAGCCACCACGUCCAGCCAAAAAAAAAUUUUUUUUUUUUUUUGAGAUGGAGUCUCACUCUGUCACCCAGGCUGGAGUGCAGCGGCGUGAUCUCGGCUCACGGCGAGCUCCGCUUCCCGGGUUCAUGCCAUUCUCCUGCCUCAGCCUCCCGAGUAGCUGGGACUACAGGCACCCGCUUCCAUGCCCGGCUAAUUUUUUGUAUUUUUUUUUAGUAGAGACGGGGUUUCACCGUGUUAGCCAGGAUGGUCUCGAUUUCCUGACCUCAUGAUCCACCCGCCUCGGCCUCCCAAAGUGCUGGGAUUACCAGCGUGAGCCACCGCGCCCAGCCAAAUUUUUUUUUAAAUGAGCUGACAUGGUGGCAAACGCCUGUAGUUUCAGCUACUUGGGGGGCUGAGGCAGGAGGAUCCCUUGAGCCCAGGAGGCAGAGAUUGCAGUGAGCCGUGACUGUGCCACUGCACUCCAGCGUGGGUGACAGAGUGAGAGCCUGUCUGAAAUUAAAAACCAAACAAAAAAGUAAAAGAAAAGACCAUUCAUAUUUGAUAGGUACAAAAGAAUGAGUCUGCAUUGUGAUCCCCCAAAAUUCAUAUGUUGCAGUCUUAGCCCCCAGCUCCUUACAGUGGGGCCUUAUGAUGAAAUAGCUCAGCCAGGCGCGGUGGCUCACGCCUGUAAUCCCAGCACUUUGGAGGGCCGAGGCGGGCAGAUCACAAGGUCAGGAGAUCGAGACCACAGUGAAAUCCCGUCUCUACUAAAAAUACAAAAAAUUAGCUGGGCCCGGUGGCGGGCGCCUGAGGUCCCAGCUACUCGGGAGGCUGAGGCAGGAGAAUGGUGUGAACCCGGGAGGCGGAGCUUGCAGUAAGCCGAGAUUGCGCCACUGCACUCCAGCCUGGGUGACAGAGCGAGACUCCAUCUCAAAAAAAAAAAAAAGGAAGAAAAGACCAUUCAUAUUUGAUGGGUACAAAAGAAUGAGGCUGCAUUGUGAUCCCCCAAAAUUCAUAUGUUGCAGUCUUAGCCCCCAGCAGCUUACAAUGGGGCCUUAUGAUGAAAUACCUGUUCAUGGCAGAUGUCAUUAAGAUGUAGAUUGAGAUGAUGUCAUUUUGGAUCAGGGUGGGCCCUAAAUGCAAUGACCAAUAUCCUUAUAAGAAGAGGAGACGUGGCCGGGCGCGGUGGCUGACACCUGUAAUCCCAGCACUUUGGGAGGCUGAGGCGGGUAGAUCACCUGAGGUCAGGAGUUCGAGGUCAACCUGAGCAACAAGAUACUUCAAAUUACUUCUCCUAUGCAUUUGGAGAGCGGGAGAGAAAAACACCAGGAAGGAAGAGGGAACAAAGAAACUCCACAGGCAGAGACACAGGACUGAGCCGUGUUGGGGGCACUGGGAGGAGUGAGCCUUGGGGUUGCACCCCCGGAGCCCCACUGUCCUGGGAGCAGCCUUCAGAACCACCCUUUUGUUCUCUGAAGUACCAGGUGUUCAGCUUUUCCAAGGACUGGCGGCUGCACGUCUUUCUCCCUGCCUCCUCCAUCUCUAGGCUCAGCCCCGCUGGGCAGCCUGGCCCACUCCCCACCCCUGCCCAGGGCCAACCCCUACUUCCCAUGCCCCCUCUGCCCACCUGCAGCACACUGGAGCCUUGGAGGCCCUCUCUGCAUCAUUCAAGAUGGGCCCCCCCGGAGACUCCUACACUUUGACCUGCACACAUCCUCCUGAAGCUUCCACUUCCUGGCCCCUGCCUGGCUUCUCACCUUCCCCACCUCAGCCCCCCAGGGGAUGUGCCGCCUCUCCCAGUGGCCCAGGACAUCCUCCACUUCCCGGGAACCCCAGGCACUUCCACAUCCUCAGGUGUGACCCGACUACCAGCCCAGCCCUGUGUGUCCGGCUGCCUGGCUGGGUCUCCCCUGGGCCCCUGGAAACACAGUGAGAAGAUGACCCUCUCUCCAAGCCAGGAAGAGACCUCCCGAGGAGCCCAGCCAGCCAGCACCCUGACCUCCAACGUCCAGCCUCUGGAAAUGUGAGAGGCCAACGUCUGCGUUGGGAGCCACGUGGUCCCGUGGGAUCUGGCCUAACGCUAAAGCCGUGGUAUCACAGAACUGAGGGUGGGAGGGAGUGUCCUGGUCUACUCACCAAUCUGUGAAAAGACGACAAACUUAUCUGUGCAGGGGAUACCGAAGGCUGCGCUCCUGCCCCGCACCAGGAUGUGGCAACUUUGAGAACCGCUGGAGAGUCGAGAGAUGUCAUCGAAACGACACCCGAUACGUGUUCCCUGAGCAUCCGUUUUGUAGUGAAGACACUCGUACUGUUGACGCCUGCUGCGGUAAGCGGUAAGGUUGGGGGACGACCCCACGCCGAUGGCACCCGCACCAGGGACAGCCCGGCCUCUGCCCAAGGGCACACCUACUUGGCAACGUUCAAGUACAGGUCGUACUGGACGUCUGCGGGGGCCGCCGGGCCUACCGCCCAGCUGCAGCUCAAGAAAUCCACGUCGUGAAUCCAGCAGGUCAGAUUCUCUGCACCUGCCCGAGGCUUCCCACCUGGGUUCACAAACAUGAAAGAGAACUCGAAUCGGGGCCGGGCACGGUGGCUCACGCCUGUCACCCCAGCAUUUUGGGAGGCCGAGGCGGGUGGAUCACAUGAGGUCAGGAGUUCGAGACCAGCCUGGCCAACAUGGAGAAACCCCGUCUCUACUAAAAAUACAAAAAUUAGCCGUGUGUGGUGGCUCACGCCUGUGAUCCCAGCACUUUGGGAGGCCAAGGCAGGUGGAUCGCCUGAGGUCCGGAGUUUGAGACCAGCCUGGCCAACAUGGUGAAACCCCAUCGCUACUAAAAAUAGAAAAAAUUAGCCAGGUGUGAUGUCGGGCCGCUCUAAUCCCAGCUACUCGGGAGGCUGAGGCAGAAGAAUUUCUUGAACCCAGGAGGCAGAGGUUGCAUGGAGCUGAGAUCACGCCACUGCACUCCAGCCUGAGCAACAGAGUGAGACUUCGUCUCAAAAAAUAAAUAAAUAAAUAAAAGCCGGGCAUGGUGGCUCAUGCCUGUAAUCCCAGCACUUUGGGAGGCCGAGGCAGGAGGAUCACCUGAGGUCCGGAGUUCGAGACCGGCCUGGCUAACAUGGUGAAACCCCGCCUCUACUAAAAAUACAAAAAUUAGCCGGGCAUGAUGUCGGGCUGCUGUAAUCCCAGCUAAUAGGGAGGCUGAGGCAGGAGAAUUUCUUGAACCCAGGAGGCAGAGGUUGCAGUGAGCCAAGACCAUGCCACUGCACUCCAGCCUGUGUGACAAGAGCGAGACUCCGUCUCAAAAAAAAAAAUAAAACUCUGAUUGCUUUUUAGAGUGCCUUUUGUAUUUUGAGACCAUGGUGGAUACACAAGCCGUUGUAAAAAAUAAUAAUAAUACGGAGAGAUCCUGCA